UCUCCUGUUCGAUCACUCCUCUCUCUCUCUCUCUCUCUCUCUCUCUCUCUCUCUCUCCCUUUCUCUGGUUCACACCCUCCUCUCCUCUCCCGAUCAGUCUCUAUGUGAAGGGAGUUCCGUAUGGUUACAGACUCGUAUGGUGGAAGAAGUCAAAGCAAGGUAGUAAAAUGGAUUGGUGUCAGUCCGAGCGAUGGAAAGGGCAGAAAGUGGAAGAGAACAGAUCCCAAAGAGAACUUCAAAGAGGUGACGUCGGAGAAGCUGGUGUUGGUAUUGGAGCUUCUGCUGACGGAUGGAGCUCAGUGUGACGUCAUUGCAUACUAUCCAGAGAACCUAUGAUGUACAGAACAAGGACGCUGAGGUGAGGCAUUGCUGGUGUGAGCUGCUGGUCAAACACAAAUACUCUCAGGGUUAUGGAGAUGUGGAGCACUUCCUCAUUCACCACUAGGCCAUGGGUGUUUAUCUGUAUGGGGAGCUGAUGGUUCAAGAGGACUCUGGGCAGCAGGCUCUGGCCAGGCGCUAUCUCUCAUUGGUCCAGAAUGAGAAGGACCAAUCAGCUCGCAGAGUGGUGGAGGAGAUGGUCGUAUGAGCUGGCACUCAACUGGUACUGACCCGCCCAGCUGAGCCUUCUCAUAACUAUUGGUACUAUAUGUUUCUGAACAUUCUUAUGUACCAAGUGAUUCUGGUACCUUUUCUAUUAUGUAAAGAACAGGCUGAUAUUCCUUUGAAACUAUUCUGUAUGAUCUCGUCAAUACAGUAGAUGGGCUGA